CCUACGGGAGGCAGCAGUGGGGAAUAUUGCACAAUGGGCGCAAGCCUGAUGCAGCAACGCCGCGUGAGGGACGACGGCCUUCGGGUUGUAAACCUCUUUUAGUAGGGAAGAAGCGAAAGUGACGGUACCUGCAGAAAAAGCACCGGCUAACUACGUGCCAGCAGCCGCGGUAAUACGUAGGGUGCAAGCGUUGUCCGGAAUUAUUGGGCGUAAAGAGCUCGUAGGCGGUUUGUCGCGUCUGCUGUGAAAACCCGAGGCUCAACCUCGGGCCUGCAGUGGGUACGGGCAGACUAGAGUGCGGUAGGGGAGAUUGGAAUUCCUGGUGUAGCGGUGGAAUGCGCAGAUAUCAGGAGGAACACCGAUGGCGAAGGCAGAUCUCUGGGCCGUAACUGACGCUGAGGAGCGAAAGCAUGGGGAGCGAACAGGAUUAGAUACCCUGGUAGUCCAUGCCGUAAACGUUGGGAACUAGAUGUAGGGACCAUUCCACGGUUUCUGUGUCGCNGCUACGCAUAGUUCCCGUCCGUCGGGUAGGUACGGCCGGCGACGGACGAAACGUACUAAUAGUAAGUUAGUUACGGUCGUUGAGACGUUGCCGACGGCGACGACGAGGGAGGUUAGG
rnacentral:rRNA from 1 species